rnacentral:tRNA from 1 species
UAGCUCUGUGGUAGAGUACAUGCCUAGCAUGCAUGAGGUCCUGGGUUCAAUCCCCAG